GGAAGGAUCAUUUCAUUGUUUAUACAUUUAAAUCGUUGAUAUGUAGUUUAUUUGUCCAAAUGAAAGUUUUAAAAUUAUAAAAGGUUUUCAGUUAACAACGGAUACCUCGGUUCUCACUACGAUGAAGAACGCAGCGAAUCGCGAUAGGUAAUGCGAAUUGCACAUUUUCGUGAAUCAUCAAAUCUUUGAACGCAAGUUGCACUUUUGGGUAUUCCUGAGAGUAUGCUUUUUUGGGUGUUGUUCAUCAAUGAUACAACAGAUAUUGUUUGGUUGCUGAAAGGGAGCCAAAUCAAUUAAGAUACGAGUAUGUGAGUUCUUGAAUUCAACAAAUCUACUCUGUAUUUCAACCCCAAAUAAAGUAAGAUUACCCGCUGAAUUUAAGCAUAUAAGUAAGCGGAGGAAAAGAAACUAACCAGGAUUCCCUUAGUAACGGCGAGUGAAGAGGGAUCAGCUCAAACCGAAAAUCUCAACUGCUUGCAGUUGCGAAUUGUGGUCUGUCGAGGUAUGGUCAGUGGAUUGGGGAUAAAAGUCUGUUGGAAAACAGCAGCAAAGAGGGUGAGACUCCCGUACUUUAUCUUCAUCUAUCCGCGUACGAUCUGCCUUCUAAGAGUCGGGUUGCUUGGGAUCGCAGCCUUAAAUGGGUGGUAAAUUCCAUCUAAAGCUAAAUACCAGUGAGAGACCGAUAGCGAACAAGUACCGUGAGGGAAAGGUGAAAAGAACUUUGAAAAGAAAGUGAAAAGUACUUGAAAUUGUUAACUGCCAAGCGAUCAGAUUGAGUGUGUUUGUUUCUUGGAAGGACGAUGGUAUACGUUUGUAGAGUGGGUAAGCAUAUGAAUGCUGAGCCUCUGCUUGUCUACCUUGUCCCUCCCAGAACCAAACGAAAUCACUUUGAUUGACCCGUCUUGAAACACGGACCAAGGAGUCUGACGUAUAUGCGAGUCGUAGAGUGUCAAACUCGAAAGGCGUAAUGAAAGUGAGUGGUUGUUUUCGAUUUCGAAUCGAACCGCAUCGCCCGGCUCUCCAUUGUGAGUUGUUCGAGGCCGAGCAUACACGUUAGGACCCGAAAGAUGGUGAACUAUGCCUGAGCAGGGUGAAGCCAGGGGAAACUCUGGUGGAGGCUCGUAGCGAUACUGACGUGCAAAUCGUUCGUCGGACUUGGGUAUAGGGGCGAAAGACUAAUCGAACCAUCUAGUAGCUGGUUCCCUC
rnacentral:misc_RNA from 1 species